rnacentral:rRNA from 1 species
UACACACUGCCCGUCACACCAUGGGAGUGGGUUUUACCAGAAGUGGCUAGACUAACCGCAAGGAGGUCGGUCACCACGGUAGGAUUCAUGACUGGGGUG